ACUGCUGUUGGAAAGGAUGGUAAUAAUCAGAUGUAUCCUAUAGCAUAUGCAGUUGUAGAGGCUGAAACAAAAGAUUCUUGGGAGUGGUUUGUGGACUUGUUACUGGCAGAUUUAGACAGUAUAGAGAGCAAGAGAUGGUGCUUUAUAUCUGACCAGCAGAAGGUAUAUAUUACUGCAUUUUAAUUACAUUCUUACAUGUUGGUUGAGCUGUUGUUUUAAUUUUAAGACUAAUUUUAAUUACAUUCUUACUUGUUGGUACUUGAAUGUCUUGAAUUACAGGGGCUUGUUCCUACACUGGCAGCAAUGGAUGAGAAUGUUGAUCACAGAUUCUGUGUUAAACAUCUCUAUGGAAAUUGGAGGAAGAAAUACCCUGGACAGGAAAUGAAAGGAGCACUUUGGUCUGCUGCAAGAGCAAAUACUAUGUCACAUUGGGAGAAGACAAUGGAUAAGUUGAAAGAAUUGAAUGAGGAGGCUUGGAAUGACAUGAAGCAGAUACCUAUCAAACAAUGGAGCAGAGCUGGCUAUAGCACAUACCCAAAAUGUGACUUGCAAGUUAAUAACAUGUGUGAGGCCUUCAACAGAGCAAUCCUAGAGUAUAGGGAUAAACCUAUAAUCAACAUGCUUGAAGGAUUGAAGUUCUAUCUUACCAACAGGAUUGUGAAGCAAAGGGAUAUGGUUAUUAGGUACCAGGGUGAUCUAUGUCCAACCAUUCAGAAGAAAUUAGAGGUGUCUAAGAGAGACGCUGCUGCAUGGCUUCCUUUAUCUGCUGGAGACCCUAGGAAUUCACUUUUUGAAGUAACUAAUGGGACUUGGAAGUAUGCAGUGAACUUGGAUGCUAAAUCUUGUGCAUGCAGAAGGUGGGACCUAACUGGUAUCCCUUGCUGCCAUGUUGUAGCUUGCAUAUGGUACAACAACACCAGGCCUGAGGAUUUUGUAGACCCUUAUUACUGGUAAUUGUGUUAAUGUUGUAUCUUGUAUUACUGAAAUUGUAUGUUGCAUAUCUUGUAUUACUGAUAUCAUCUCAUUUAUGUGUUUAGGAAAAGUACGUUUUUGAGGACAUAUGAAAAUAUCAUACUACCAUCAAAUGGUCCUGACUUGUGGCCUAAUCCUGGGAAUAAUGUAUUGCCAAUCAUCCCACCAGCAAUGAGGAGGGCUCCUGGAAGACCAAAGAAAAAAAGGGUGAGGGCUGCUGAUGAGCCCAGAGAUCCACAUAAGCUGCAAAGGUUUCAAUCAACUGUCUUUUGUGGCAACUGUAGAAGGGCAGGCCACAACAUCAGAUCAUGCAAGGCAAAAACAGCUGCUGAUAUUGUUAUUCCACCAGGAGGGAAUAAGAAACAGAAGAAGAAGACUAAAGAGGCAAGUGGCAGUGGAACAACUGAGGGAGCAACAACUCAGCAACCACCCCUAAACCCAACUAAUGGAGCAUCUCAGCAACAACCCCAGGGAGCAUCUCAGCAACCACCUCAAGGAGCACAAUUCAAUGUUGGUGUCUUGACUCAAGAAGUUCCAUCACAGGGAGGAAGCUCAAGAAAUGAAGUGGGAACUACAUCAAGGACCAAAAAGAGGUCAAGAGCAUCAUUGAGUGUUGUGGAAACUUAAGACAGUCUCACUUGAAGAAGGCUGCAACAUUAUGUGUUUUGAUUAAGUGGGAACUAGUUAGGCAUAUUUUGAUGUUUUGGUCCCUUUAAUUAUGAUGUUUUGUGAACCUUAGUUAUGAUGUUGUGGGAACCUUAAUUAUGUAAUUUGUUAUGUUCCUAACUUACCUUUGAAGGUUAUGAACCUAAAUUAUGUAUUUUGUGGUGUUUUAAUUAAGCAUGAUA